rnacentral:rRNA from 1 species
CUAUGGGCCGCUGCAGUGAGGAAUAUUGCACAAUGGGGGGAACCCUGAUGCAGCAACGCCGCGUGGAGGAUGACGCACUUCGGUGUGUAAACUCCUUUUAUAUGUCAAGAAAAUGACGGUAGCAUAUGAAUAAGCACCGGCUAACUCCGUGCCAGCAGCCGCGGUAAUACGGAGGGUGCAAGCGUUACUCGGAAUCACUGGGCGUAAAGGACGCGUAGGCGGGUUGGAAAGUCAGGUGUGAAAUCCUACAGCUUAACUGUAGAACUGCACUUGAAACUUCUAAUCUAGAGUAUGGGAGGGGGAGAUGGAAUUAGUGGUGUAGGGGUAAAAUCCGUAGAUAUCACUAGGAAUACCUAAAGCGAAGGCGAUCUCCUGGAACAUUACUGACGCUAAGGCGUGAAAGCGUGGGGAGCAAACAGGAUUAGAUACCCCCGUAGUC